CUUGGUCAUUUAGAGGAAGUAAAAGUCGUAACAAGGUUUCCGUAGGUGAACCUGCGGAAGGAUCAUUAUCGAGUUUUGACUGGGUUGUAGCUGGCCUUCCGAGGCAUGUGCACGCCCUGCUCAUCCACUCUACACCUGUGCACUUACUGUGGGUAUCAGAUCGUGAAGCGUGCUCUUUUACCGGAGCUUGUGAAGCGUGUCUGUGCCUGCGUUUAUCACAAACACUAUAAAGUAUCAGAAUGUGUAUUACGAUGUAACGCAUCUAUAUACAACUUUUAACAACGGAUCUCUUGGCUCUCGCAUCGAUGAAGAACGCAGCGAAAUGCGAUAAGUAAUGUGAAUUGCAGAAUUCAGUGAAUCAUCGAAUCUUUGAACGCACCUUGCGCUCCCUGGUAUUCCGGGGAGCACGCCUGUUCGAGUGUCAUGAAACUCUCAAGCAGCAUAGCUUUAUUGUUAUGUCUGUUUGGAUUUGGACUCUGCCGCUUUUACGAGUGGCUGGUCUUAAAUGUAUUAGCUGGCCCUUGUGAGUCUUGGUUCUACUCGGCGUGAUAAUUAUCUGACGUUGAGGACAGUCUUCGGACUGGCCAAGGUCUUCAAAGACCGCUUCUAAUCGUCUUCGGACAAUCAAAUUUCUACAUCUGACCUCGAAUCAGGCGGGACUACCCGCUGAACUUAAGCAUAUCAAUAAGCGGAGGA
rnacentral:rRNA from 1 species